rnacentral:rRNA from 1 species
UACAGAGGGGGCAAGCGUUGUUCGGAAUUACUGGGCGUAAAGGGCGCGUAGGCGGCCUGUUAAGUCGAACGUGAAAUCCCCGGGCUCAACCCGGGAACUGCGUCCGAUACUGGCAGGCUUGAAUUCGGGAGAGGGAUGCGGAAUUCCAGGUGUAGCGGUGAAAUGCGUAGAUAUCUGGAGGAACACCCGUGGCGAAGGCGGCUCUCUGGGACGGUACUGACGCUGAGACGCGAAAGCGUGGGGAGCGAACAGG